AAAAAAGUUACGCAACGCUUAAAAAAGUAAAAGGGCGGGGAAGCUAAACUAGUGUGAACUUUUGUAUUAUUCAACGAAUUUAAGUUAAAUUCAUUUUCGCGAUUAAAAUGACUUCAUCCAGUGAUUCUGAAACCGACUUAACGCCUGAUUUAAUCAGAACAGAAGCCCAAUCUAUCGUGGACGGCCUUUUACCGCAAAUUUCAAAAGAAAGAUAUAUGAAAUCAUAUACGGAUUUUAUAAAAUGGCGGUCCGAAAAGAAAGUAAAAUCUUUCUCGGAAAGUGUGAUGAUAACUUAUUUCAGCGAUUUAUCGAAGAAAUUAAAACCAUCAACGCUGUGGAGUAUAUAUUCGAUGCUUAAAACCACUUUAAACACCAAACAUGAUGUAAAUUUAAAAAACUACAAUAAGCUGACAUCGUUUCUAAAAAGGCAGUCGGUUGGCUUUAAAAGCAAAAAAUCCAAGAUUUUUUCUGCAAAUGAGAUAGAAACCUUCUUAAAUGAAGCUCCUGAUGAUGUUUAUUUGGCAACAAAGGUGGCGCUAAUUUUGGGUAUAUGCGGUGCUUGCAGAGCAUUGAACUUACAAACAUUACAGUAGACAACAUAGAAAAGCACGGUGAAUUAUUAUUGGUCAAGCUUCCCAACACUAAAACAAAAAUCGACCGAGCAUUCGUUGUGAGGGAAGAAUUCGUUCGAAUUGUGUUAAAAUAUCAAGCGCUUCGCCCCGAUAAUUUGCAAACAAAUCGUUUUUUUCUUAAUUAUCAGCGAGGAAGAUGUCUAAGACAAAAUAUCGGGAGAAACAAAAUCUCAAAUAUGCCCAAAACAAUUGCAGAAUUUUUAAAAUUGCCAAACCCGGAUCUAUAUUCAGGGCACUGCUUCCGCAGAACAUCGGCAACGCUUUUAGCCGAUUCUGGGGCCGACUUGACAAUGGUGAAACGGCACGGCGGAUGGAAAUCGAGCACAGUGGCAGAAAGUUAUAUAGAGGACUCAGUGCAAAAUAAGUCCAAAAUAUCAAAUAAAAUUACAAAUGCCAUAAACCUACGUAGCGCUUCGCCGCGUCCAGGUAGUUCAAAAGACUAUCCUGAAUUCCAAGAGUUACAUACCAAAGAAGUAUUUGUACCAGUAAAGGAGAAUCAACCAGCGUCAAACGCAAGGAUACCUUAUCAAAUAUUUACUGAUGCACCUCAAAGCAACACUCAAGUCUCGCAAACUGUGCCUGCUGUAGUGCAGAAUAAGGAAAAAACAUCUAAUAAAAUAAACGUACAUUGCACUACGCCGCGUCCAGGUAGUUCAAAAGACUUUAAUAACUACGAAUAUAUAAGUCAAGAAGAGAUCUUGAACCCAGUAAAAGACAAUCUACGAGCGUCAAUGACCAACAUAAGAAUGCCUUCUCCGACGUUUACUGAUAUACCUCAAAAUGAAAGUCAAAUUUCACAAACUAUAUCUAAUGUGAAUAUUCCAGGCAAAAAUGUUACAUUUACAUUCGCAAAUUGCUCUAAUUUUUCCAUUAAUUUCAAGUAAUUGUAUACUUUGAAUAAACAUAUUGUUAC